UCGCCCGCCGACGUCAUGAGCGGCGGGAGGAAAGUCCGGGCAACACAGAGCGCCAUGCUUUCUAACGGAAAGCUGUCGGCAACGGCAGAGCAGUGUGACAGAAAACAACCGCCCCGGGCCGUCCGGGGCAAGGGUGAAAAGGCGGGGUAAGAGCCCACCGGGCGCCGUGGCGACAUGGCGCGCCGCACACCUCAUGGGUUGCAAGGCCAAGUAUACCGGCAUUUAAGGGUUGCUCGCCCAUUGCCGGGGGGUAGGCUGCACCCGUCUUCAGGGCGGGGAGCGACGUGGCAACACGCCGUCGAGAUAAAUGACACGACCGCCGCGGAGGCCGUCUGAUGACGCAGCGCCGCGACGACAUAACCCGGCUUAUAGACG
rnacentral:RNase_P_RNA from 1 species